rnacentral:snoRNA from 1 species
UCCCAUCGUUAAGUCAAGGCCCCUUCCUGCACUCGCUGCAACCCAAUGGAAGACCGCCUGUUACAACUUUGGGAUAUCGAUCUCGCGCCCGCCGCUCUCUACCGUCAUGGCAGUGGAGCUGACCAGCCGCCGUCUUGGAGGCUGCGUCUCACAGGGCGCGAGGAUGUUUCGUUUGAGUUGAGGACUUCGCCGUCGUUCUUUCGAGCGGCCCGUUGUGGCGGUUCUCUUAGUAAUGAUUCAUACAUAU